rnacentral:rRNA from 1 species
CCUACGGGAGGCAGCAGUGGGGAAUUUUGGACAAUGGGCGAAAGCCUGAUCCAGCCAUUCCGCGUGAGUGAAGAAGGCCUUCGGGUUGUAAAGCUCUUUCGCAAGGGAAGAAAACUUAGAUACUAAUAUUAUCUGAGGUUGACGGUACCUUGAUAAGAAGCACCGGCUAACUACGUGCCAGCAGCCGCGGUAAUACGUAGGGUGCGAGCGUUAAUCGGAAUUACUGGGCGUAAAGCGUGCGCAGGCGGUUUUGUAAGUCAGAUGUGAAAUCCCCGAGCUCAACUUGGGAACUGCGUUUGAAACUACAAGACUAGAAUAUGUCAGAGGGGGGUAGAAUUCCACGUGUAGCAGUGAAAUGCGUAGAGAUGUGGAGGAAUACCAAUGGCGAAGGCAGCCCCCUGGGAUAAUAUUGACGCUCAUGCACGAAAGCGUGGGGAGCAAACAGGAUUAGAUACCCUGGUAGUCCACGCCCUAAACGAUGUCUACUAGUUGUUGGUGGAGUAAAAUCCAUGAGUAACGCAGCUAACGCGUGAAGUAGACCGCCUGGGGGAGGUACGGUCGUCGAGAGUUAAACGUUAACUAAUUAGAGUUAGAGGCGNGAGAGNGCGACGGACGACGACGAGGGAGGAGG